GAUCAUUAUUGAAUCCAAGGAUGUUGCUGGCAUUUUUUAAAUGCAUGUGCACUCCAUCUUUCAAACCCACCUGUGCACUUAUUGUAGACUUGAAAGAGUCUAUGUUUUAUACACACACAUUGAAGUCUUAUGAAUGUCAUUAGACCUUUUGGUCAAAAUGUAAUACAACUUUCAACAACGGAUCUCUUGGUUCUCGCAUCGAUGAAGAACGCAGCGAAUUGCGAUAUGUAAUGUGAAUUGCAGAAUUCAGUGAAUCAUCGAAUCUUUGAACGCACCUUGCGCCCUUUGGUAUUCCGAAGGGCAUGCCUGUUUGAGUGUCAUUAAAUUCUCAACUUCAAAUGUUUUUGAAGCUUUGGACUUGGAGGUUAUGCAGGCUCUUUGAUAGUCAGCUCCUCUUAAAUGCAUUAGCAGAACUUGUACAGUUCGGCUCUGGUUUGAUAAUCCUAUCUAUGCCAUUGCUGAGAUGUGAUUGUUCAGCUUCUAAUCGUCCUUUAGGGCCGGUUUCUAUGAGGCAUUAAUAUUGACUGACCUCAAAUCAUGUAGAU
rnacentral:rRNA from 1 species